rnacentral:rRNA from 1 species
UGUGCCAAGCAGCCGCGGUAAUUCCAGCUCCAAUAGCGUAUAUUAAAGUUGUUGCGGUUAAAAAGCUCGUAGUUGGAUCUCGGCGGGCAGGGGGUGGUUCGCUCUUCAGCGCUACUGCCCCGCUUUGCCCGUGUGAUUGGCGGAGGUUUCGGGGUGCUCUUCGUUGAGUGACUCGGAGCGCCGUCAGGUUUACUUUGAAAAAAUUAGAGUGCUCAAAGCAGGCUUUUCACGCUUGAAUAUUCGUGCAUGGAAUAAUGGAAUAGGAACUCGUUUCUAUUUUGUUGGUUUUCGGAAAUCGAGUUAAUGAUUAACAGGGACAAUUGGGGGCAUUAGUAUUCAGACGACAGAGGUGAAAUUCUUGGACCGUCUGAAGACUGACUACUGCGAAAGCAUUUGCCAAGAGUGUUUUCAUUAAUCAAGAACGAAAGUUAGAGGUUCGAAGGCGAUCAGAUACCGCCCUAGUUCUAACCAUAAACGAUGCCAGCUAGCGAUCUGCCGAGUUUUUUUUGUAGGCUCCGCAGGAAGCUUUCGGGAAACCAAAGCUUUUGGGUUCCGGGGGAAGUAUGGUUGCAAAGCUGAAACUUAAAGGAAUUGACGGAAGGGCACCACCAGGAGUGGAGCCUGCGGCUUAAUUUGACUCAACACGGGAAAUCUCACCAGGCCCGGACACUGGAAGGAUUGACAGAUUGAGAGCUCUUUCUCGAUUCGGUGGGUGGUGGUGCAUGGCCGUUCUUAGUUGGUGGAGUGAUUUGUCUGGUUAAUUCCGAUAACGAACGAGACUCUGUCCUGCUAAAUAGUUGGGUCGUCCUUCGUGCGAUCCAAGUUCUUCUUAGAGGGACUGGCUGCGUCUAGCAGCACGAGAUUGAGCAAUAACAGGUCUGUGAUGCC